UAGGGGUGUAGAAGUGAAAGAAACAAACUUGUAAUAAUAAUUGAAAUAAUCGGAUUGUAUUUGGAGGUUAAUGUGAUGUAAGAAUGCAAGUGAGCUGAAUGCUUAUAAUAACUUAGUUGUUUUAUAUUUUUGAUACUUCCUUAUGCAAUCUGUAUGUUGAAUAUUGUUCCUAGUUGGAACCUCUUGUAUUGUAUUGAUUGCGACGCCUAGGACGUACAGGGGAAACUCUGUCCGUUCGGCGGUCUAUUAGCG
rnacentral:lncRNA from 1 species